rnacentral:rRNA from 1 species
AUUCCAGCUCCAAUAGCGUAUAUUAAAGUUGUUGCAGUUAAAAAGCUCGUAGUUGAAUUUUGGACUUGGCUGGGCGGUCUUUGCGAAUGCAUUGCACUUCUCUGGCUGAGUCUUUCCUUCUGGCGAACUAUUGUGCUAUUUAUUUAGUGCGAUUGGGAACCAGGACUUUUACUUUGAAAAAAUUAGAGUGUUUAAAGCAGGCUUACGCUUGAAUACAUUAGCAUGGAAUAAUAAAAUAGGACUUUGGUUUUAUUUUGUUGGUUUUCGAAACCAAAGUAAUGAUUAAUAGGGAUAGUUGGGGGCGUUUAUAUUCCAUUGUCAGAGGUGAAAUUCUUGGAUUUAUGGAAGAUAAACUACUGCGAAAGCAUUCGCCAAGGAUGUUUUCAUUG